CUAGAAGUUUGGAUUCUGCUCAGAUGAACGCUGGCGGCGUGCUUAACACAUGCAGUCGAACGAUGAGCCCAGCUGCUGGGCGGAUAGUGGCGAACGGGUGAGUACACGUGAGUAACCUGCCCUUGACUCUGGGAUAAGCCCGGGAAACUGGGUCUAAUACCGGAUAGGAACGCCUAUCGCAUGAUGGGUGUUGGAAAGAUUUUUCGGUCAUGGAUGGACUCGCGGCCUAUCAGCUUGUUGGUGAGGUAAUGGCUCACCAAGGCGACGACGGGUAGCCGGCCUGAGAGGGUGACCGGCCACACUGGGACUGAGACACGGCCCAGACUCCUACGGGAGGCAGCAGUGGGGAAUAUUGCACGRMUGGGCGAAAGCCUGAUGCAGCGACGCCGCGUGAGGGAUGACGGCCUUCGGGUUGUAAACCUCUUUCAGUAGGGAAGAAGCGAAAGUGACGGUACCUGCAGAAGAAGCACCGGCUAACUACGUGCCAGCAGCCGCGGUAAUACGUAGGGUGCGAGCGUUAUCCGGAAUUAUUGGGCGUAAAGAGCUCGUAGGCGGUUUGUCACGUCUGUCGUGAAAGUCCGGGGCUUAACCCCGGAUCUGCGGUGGGUACGGGCAGACUAGAGUGCAGUAGGGGAGACUGGAAUUCCUGGUGUAGCGGUGGAAUGCGCAGAUAUCAGGAGGAACACCGAUGGCGAAGGCAGGUCUCUGGGCUGUAACUGACGCUGAGGAGCGAAAGCAUGGGGAGCGAACAGGAUUAGAUACCCUGGUAGUCCAUGCCGUAAACGUUGGGCACUAGGUGUGGGGACCAUUCCACGGUUUCCGCGCCGCAGCUAACGCAUUAAGUGCCCCGCCUGGGGAKUMCGGCCGCAAGGCUAAAACUCAAAGGAAUUGACGGGGGCCCGCACAAGCGGCGGAGCAUGCGGAUUAAUUCGAUGCAACGCGAAGAACCUUACCAAGGCUUGACAUGUUUUCGAUCGCCGUGGAGACACGGUUUCCCCUUUGGGGCGGAUUCACAGGUGGUGCAUGGUUGUCGUCAGCUCGUGUCGUGAGAUGUUGGGUUAAGUCCCGCAACGAGCGCAACCCUCGUUCCAUGUUGCCAGCACGUCGUGUGGGGACUCAUGGGAGACUGCCCGGGGUCAACUCGGAGAGGUGAGGACGACGUCAAAUCAUCAUGCCCUUAUGUCUUGGGCUUCACGCAUGCUACAUGACGUACAUGGGUGCCGAUACUGGUGGAGGUGAGCUAUCCAAAAGGCCGUCUCAGUUCGAUUGGGGGUCUGCCAACUCCGAC
rnacentral:rRNA from 1 species